GCCUUCAUAGCUCAGUCGGUAGAGCAUCAGACUUUUAANCUGAGGGUCUGGGGUUCGAGUCCCCAUGCGGGCUCCA
rnacentral:tRNA from 1 species